rnacentral:rRNA from 1 species
UACGGAGGGUGCAAGCGUUAAUCGGAAUUACUGGGCGUAAAGCGUGCGUAGGUGGUUCGUUAAGUCCGUUGUGAAAGCCCCGAGCUCAACUUGGGAAUUGCAGUGGAUACUGGCAGGCUAGAGUGCGGUAGAGGGUAGUGGAAUUCCCGGUGUAGCGGUGAAAUGCGUAGAGAUCGGGAGGAACACCAGUGGCGAAGGCGGCUACCUGGACCAGCACUGACACUGAGGCACGAAAGCGUGGGGAGCAAACAGG